rnacentral:rRNA from 1 species
CUUAGUAGCGGCGAGUGAAGCGGCAAAAGCUCAAAUUUGAAAUCUGGCUCUUUCAGAGUCCGAGUUGUAAUUUGAAGAAGGUAUCUUUGGGUCUGGCUCUUGUCUAUGUUUCUUGGAACAGAACGUCACAGAGGGUGAGAAUCCCGUGCGAUGAGAUGAUCCAGGCCUAUGUAAAGUUCCUUCGAAGAGUCGAGUUGUUUGGGAAUGCAGCUCUAAGUGGGUGGUAAAUUCCAUCUAAAGCUAAAUAUUGGCGAGAGACCGAUAGCGAACAAGUACAGUGAUGGAAAGAUGAAAAGAACUUUGAAAAGAGAGUGAAAAAGUACGUGAAAUUGUUGAAAGGGAAGGGCUUGAGAUCAGACUUGGUAUUUUGUAUGUUACUUCUUCGGGGGUGGCCUCUACAGUUUAUCGGGCCAGCAUCAGUUUGGGCGGUAGGAGAAUUGCGUUGGAAUGUGGCACGGCCUCGGUUGUGUGUUAUAGCCUUCGUCGAUACUGCCAGCCUAGACUGAGGACUGCGGUUUAUACCUAGGAUGUUGGCAUAAUGAUCUUAAGUCGCCCGUCUGAAA